AGAGUUUGAUCAUGGCUCAGGAUGAACGCUGGCGGCGUGCCUAACACAUGCAAGUCGAACGGAAUUUACAUGAAGCCUAGCGAUUGUAAAUUUAGUGGCGGACGGGUGAGUAACGCGUGGGUAACCUGCCUUGUACUGGGGGACAACAGUUGGAAACGACUGCUAAUACCGCAUAAGCGCACGGCUUCGCAUGAAGCAGUGUGAAAAACUCCGGUGGUACAAGAUGGGGCCCGCGUCUGAUUAGCUGGUUGGUGAGGUAACGGCCCACCAAGGCGACGAUCAGUAGCCGGCCUGAGAGGGUGAACGGCCACGAUUGGGACUGAGACACGGCCCAAACUCCGUACGGGAGGCA
rnacentral:rRNA from 1 species